rnacentral:rRNA from 1 species
UACAUGGGGUGCAAACGUUGCUCGGAAUUAUUGGGCGUAAAGCGCACGUAGGCGGUUUGUUAAGUCGGAUGUGAAAUCCCUCGGCUCAACUGAGGAAGUGCAUCCGAAACUGGCAAGCUUGAGUACGAAAGAGGGUCGCGGAAUUCCCGGUGUAGAGGUGAAAUUCGUAGAUAUCGGGAGGAACACCGAUGGCGAAGGCAAUCCCCUGGGCCUGUACUGACGCUCAUGCACGAAAGCGUGGGGAGCAAACAGG